UACAGAGGGGGCAAGCGUUGUUCGGAAUUACUGGGCGUAAAGGGCGCGUAGGUGGCCUUCUAAGUUGAACGUGAAAUCCCUCGGCUUAACCGGGGAACUGCGUCUGAUACUGGUUGGCUUGAGUGUGGGAGAGGAUGCGGAAUUCCAGGUGUAGCGGUGAAAUGCGUAGAUAUCUGGAGGAACACCGGUGGCGAAGGCGGCAUCCUGGACCAUUACUGACGCUGAGGAGCGAAAGCCAGGGGAGCAAACGGG
rnacentral:rRNA from 1 species